GAUGAACGCUGGCGGCGUGCCUAAUACAUGCAAGUCGAGCGAACGGACGAGAAGCUUGCUUCUCUGAUGUUAGCGGCGGACGGGUAAGUAACACGUGGAUAACCUACCUAUAAGACUGGGAUAACUUCGGGAAACCGGAGCUAAUACCGGAUAAUAUUUUGAACCGCAUGGUUCAAAAGUGAAAGACGGUCUUGCUGUCACUUAUAGAUGGAUCCGCGCUGCAUUAGCUAGUUGGUAAGGUAACGGCUUACCAAGGCAACGAUGCAUAGCCGACCUGAGAGGGUGAUCGGCCACACUGGAACUGAGACACGGUCCAGACUCCUACGGGAGGCAGCAGUAGGGAAUCUUCCGCAAUGGGCGAAAGCCUGACGGAGCAACGCCGCGUGAGUGAUGAAGGUCUUCGGAUCGUAAAACUCUGUUUUUAGGGAAGAACAUAUGUGUAAGUAACUGUGCACAUCUUGACGGUACCUAAUCAGAAAGCCACGGCUAACUACGUG
rnacentral:rRNA from 1 species